rnacentral:rRNA from 1 species
UACAGAGGGUGCGAGCGUUGUCCGGAAUCACUGGGCGUAAAGGGCGCGUAGGUGGCCUGAUAAGUAGGGGGUGAAAUCUCGAGGCUCAACUUCGAGGCUGCCUUCUAAACUGUCGGGCUUGAGCAGAGUAGAGGCAGGUGGAAUUCCCGGUGUAGCGGUGGAAUGCGUAGAGAUCGGGAAGAACAUCGGUGGCGAAGGCGAGUCCCUGGACGACUUCUGACACUGAGGCACGAAAGCUAGGGGAGCAAACAGG